ACUCAGACGUGAGCACCCGCUGAACUUAAGCACAU
rnacentral:rRNA from 1 species